rnacentral:lncRNA from 1 species
CUGCAUUUAGCCUUUUCAAAAUUAGCCAAACAUGCUAAUUGAUGGGGGUUUGAAAUUUGUAAGCGGAGUGUACAGUGAGGCGGCGAUGGAGAAUGGCGCCGACUACAAUUCGGCCAGUCUCUUCUGUUGUUUGGAUACAUAAUCUUCGGUGAUACACUGGAUCCACCGGCUUCUGCUGCAUCGGGUUUUUUCACUCCCCAAUCCGGUCCGUAAUUCCCCUAAACUCUAAGCAAUUGUUUUCGUUUAUUAAUUGGUUCCACCGGAUUCUAUUAUCCUGUACUUUCAUCCAAGUGUUGUGUUGAGCGAACGUUUGUAUUAUAUUUGAAAGUUAAUGGAAAUUAGCAAAUUCGGUGGUGAACUGGUUCUUUGGAUAGUGUAGUUGAUCUUGUACUAUUGAUUAAACUGAUUUUACUUUGCUAUUGCAAUCUGGCUUUGUGGAAUUAACUACUCCGAUUAAUUUUAAAAUAAACAUUUUUCAUCUUCAUUUGGCGGUAAAUGAUGGGGUUUAAAUUUUGUAUUAGGGUUCGUUAAUUUGUAAGGUGAUUGAGGUGAGAUUUGAGAACUCGCAAAUUCAUAGAAACUGAUAUUACCUAUGAAAUCGGGGUCACUGGAUGUGCUUCUCCGAUGCUCUGGGUGGAUUCAUCAUUUUUUCCGCCUUUUUCUUUUCUUUCUCUUGGUCGACUUCAGGGCUACUGGUAUCAGAAAUGCAGCCAUGUUUUCGGAUUUAUAUACAACGAGUAAUAGUUUCAACUGAUUUUGGUAAUAUUAAAACACUAAUCUUUUCUAUUUAAACUCCAUUUCCUUCAUCUAGGAAUUUGUUUGAAUUUUGACUCGUUAAAUUUCCUAAGAAUGUUUAUUCUAUUGAAUUUACAAUUCUGAGAUUUCAUUUCAUGGCGGAUGAAUCGGCCCUUUUUCCAUUAUUCCUUCAAAUAGAUAGUAUUUUAUGAGCGUGUCCGCAUGGGAAAGCCUUGGGAUAUGGAUUUUGAAAGUUCUUUGUUUUGGCCUUAGAGAAGAAGUAUGCUUGCCAAUAGGGCAUUGCAUACGUGCAUUAGUCGCUCUAAUAUUCCUUUUUAGUGGACUAUUUACUGCAAGACAACGGCAAUAAUCUUCUUCAUAGCAAAAACCUGCAGUGCAAGCCAGUGUAGCUUUCACAUUGCAGGUAAAUCACACCAUAAAUGCAAGCUUUCUUGUUUGUAUUGUAAUUUCUUUCUGUUUAUUACAGCUAAGAAGGUUUAAAUCUCUAGCAUUUAACUCAUAUAUAUUGUUCAAGAGUUGCUUCUAUUACAUUCUCCUUUUUUUCAGAUUCAGCAUACCAUCUCUGUCUGUGAGCACAAAUGUUUAGAAUAAUUGUCUUUUACGUUCAUUUCUUCUAUGACUAAAUCAAAGCAAUAACUAACUCGGAAGCAAAGAAGGGUAACAUUGAAAAGUUUAGAUGUUUCCUGAUUCACGCUUCCAACAAAAAACUUCUGCAAUUUCCUGCUUGUAGUUCUCGAGCAAGAUCUGCAAGUCUCAAAUAGCCAGAUACAUGAAUUCCCCAAAAUGUCUACAUGAAUUUGAAUGAAAUUUUUGGUUAUUAGUUCAAUUCCUUGUUUAAAUUUUUUGUAUAAUUUUCUUGUCUUCUGACGUUGAAUUAUUUCAUUUGUAAAACAAAUGUGUUUUCCAGUUAUUGAUCGAGGGAGCUGGGAGCAGUUACAGCAGUGUUUUAAGGAUUUGAUGAAUGAAAUUAGGGAUCUUGUGAAGGUAGUCGACCUGUUGAGGACGAAACUGGUUAAUGGCAGACAUUUGCAAGCAUGCUCGUAUAUGCGUUGUGACUUCUCAGCCCAUGACAACAAAGUAAAACUUCAGUGGGAAGUGGAAGAGGAAGACAAGGGAAGAUGGGUUCUUUGGAACAAUUUCACAUAACUCAUACCCAACCACCCACAACGAAACCCUAAUCAUUUUCAUCCUCUGAAUUUUUCUCUCCUCUUUCUAUUCGACCUUCUCUCCUCUCUCUACCCGUUGUCGAAAAGCAUAGUCACCACCGUCGCUUGCACCAUCUUGCACAGCGCCACACUCAACCACCAAAAAAUUCCCAAACCCGCAAUCAUGGCCACUACAUUCGUUGAUGCUAUCACUUCCACAAAUAUUCCCAAACCCACAAUCGCACAUGACAUAGCAACGAUGAGGAGCAGAUCAUCGUUGUGCACAAAGAUAUGAUUGUGGUAUGUGCCCCAUCGCUGCUGCGACUGUGGUCGACGAUUGUGCUCAUCGUCAUUCAAUCAAUUGUUCUUAUCAUCGCUCUAUCAUCAAAGGAAGUGCAAAGUGAAAUGAAGCAGUUGGGUGGAUUUGAUGAAAAAUUAUAAAACAAAUGUAACAAACUGUAUGAAAUAAAAGCAAUGACUAGUGGUUUUGAGUUGCUGUGAUGUGUGGUGGUGAUUUUGUGUGUCUAGUUAUGGUGUUCAUGGGUGGAGAUAGAAUGGGGGAGUUUGUAACCAAUAAUUUUUUUAAUUUGUGACCAAUAAAUAAUAUGUAAUUUAAAAAAGUGAUCUAAAAAGUAAUCAAGAAAUUACUUGUGAUCAAUUAAUUUGAUAAUAUGUGAUUGUUACAUAAGCCGUGACUUAUAAAAUUUAUGAUUUGUGACCGU